UCUCUCUCCCUGGUUCGUGUUCUUCCUGGAGACCAAUCCCGAUCCAAAUCCUCGUCUGGAUUCGGCUCGGAUCUUGCACCUCUCGCACUCCCACCUCCAUAUAAAUAUUCCCCAAGUCUGACUCUUCUGAUUUUUGCAAAAAUCUCCUGCUCCCGUGCCCUAUCUCGCCCGUACCAGAAGAUCGAAUCUCGCCGGAGUUUCGCCGCUGCUGACCUCCGCCGUCGUCGUUUCCAUUGCCUAUAGGAAGCUCCCGAGCACUUCGAACACCGUCGCCUUUGCUCCAGACGAGCGGCACCGCCUCUGCAGACCGUCCCCGAUCCCGAGAAGUGCACCUCCUGGGGCGCCGUGCCACGCCGCAUCCGACUCGAUCCUUUUCGAGUCCACCCUUAGACGUCUCCACCGGCGAAGUCCGAGCCGCCGUGCUUCAUCUUGCCCAAGUCCGGCAGCCUUCCUCUGUUUCUCCGAUUGUCCGGAGUGCGAAGCGGAUCAAAAUUGAGUGUUAGAGUACUUCAGCACUGUUCAAGGCAAGUUGCACUUUUGAUUAUAGCUAAUCCUAUAUUUCUGCUAUGCAUGUGUAGUUGUUGUGUUAUGAUAUAUAUUUGGUUUGAUCUGUGUAUUCCAUGUUGUCAUAUUCGUGGAUGGUGUGCUUUAUGUGAUGUGUGAUUAGCUUGUUGUGGUAUACGUGGGCAUGUGUCGAGUGAUCCAUUAAAGUGGUGAGUCUUUAUAGCUGUAGGCUCGGGCUUUUUCUCAGGUGAAUGCGUCAAUGGCUGAGCGCUCUAUUGUCCCUAGAGAAUGCACCAUGGCUAAGCGCACUUGAGGUUUCGGGGCUUAAAUCGGGUGAAUGUGUUGAUGGCUGAGCGCUCUAUUGUCCCUAGAGAAUGCGCCACGACUGAGCGCACUUGAGAUUUCUUGAAGAUCUUUGUCAUCUGUGUUUGUGUGCACCUUGCCUAUGUAGUGGAGGUAGGUGAAGGUAGUUUUACACAAAACCAACUUGAGUGUAUUGUUUGUCAUACCUUGCAUGUUGAUGUAGGUUUGCUUUUAUCAUUAUGUGUAAUUUGCCAAUACAUUCAAUGUAUUGAUCCUUGUGGAUGCAACUUAUCAUGUUGCAAGAUUUUCAGAUGAUCAGUGAGAUACAGUAGGGUCGCGAGUCUUCACUCAACAUUUUCGCAAGUGGGUAGUGAUGGGACUUAUCGUUUACUUAUGUUACAUUUCCGCUGUUAUUAUUAAAUAAAGUUAGCUAUGUGCUGCUCUGUUUGUAAUACUUUAUGAAUUCUGGAUCAUACAUUAUAGUAAAUGAUGCACUUGUUAUUUAAUAUUCAUAUAUACUGUGUGUGCUAGCGAGUCGAUCCAGGGACUAGCACAGUGAGCACAGAGACAUCGAAUCUUAUCAGGUUCGGGUCGUUACAAGCUGCUCUCGUCCUAAGGCGAUCUUGCCGGGCUUGAGUGUUGCGCGUUCAUCACGAUCCUCCCAUCAAUCCACCAAAGUAGGAGUAGGUUUUUACGCCUCGCGGCGGCCUGAACCUGCGUAAAAACUGCCUAUGUCAUUGCCGCCGUGCUGCCCUACGACCUCCGCUCUUUGUGCAACGCGCCCUUCCCCCUACCGAACCACAAGGGGCCGAUGGACCCAUAGGUGGCCGUGUUGAACCACGACACAUUACUACACUUGUAUCCAUCUCUUCGCCGAUUUGGUGCACCUAUACAAUUUACCAUUGUUUUUGGUGUGUUGGGGAUACAAGAGACUCUUUGUUAUUUGGUUGCAGGGUUGUU